rnacentral:rRNA from 1 species
UGCACGCUGGCGGCGUGCCUAAUACAUGCAAGUCGAGCGACCAGACGAGGAGCUUGCUCCUCUGACGUUAGCGGCGGACGGGUGAGUAACACGUGGAUAACCUACCUAUAAGACUGGGAUAACUUCGGGAAACCGGAGCUAAUACCGGAUAAUAUAUUGAACCGCAUGGUUCAAUAGUGAAAGACGGUUUUGCUGUCACUUAUAGAUGGAUCCGCGCCGCAUUAGCUAGUUGGUAAGGUAACGGCUUACCAAGGCAACGAUGCGUAGCCGACCUGAGAGGGUGAUCGGCCACACUGGAACUGAGACACGGUCCAGACUCCUACGGGAGGCAGCAGUAGGGAAUCUUCCGCAAUGGGCGAAAGCCUGACGGAGCAACGCCGCGUGAGUGAUGAAGGUCUUCGGAUCGUAAAACUCUGUUAUUAGGGAAGAACAAAUGUGUAAGUAACUAUGCACGUCUUGACGGUACCUAAUCAGAAAGCCACGGCUAACUACGUG